ACCGCUUCAAGAGUAAUCCCUUUUUCAUUUCGUGCCAAAAUGAAAAUUAACUUCUUUCACCGCCCAUUUUCCAUAUAAAGCAUAAACUUUUCCUUCGCUCUCUCAUGGAGUUCUUUCCAGAAACGCUUAUAAAUUUUCCACCAAGAAACCCUAAAUUUUCGAUCCCAACUCUCUGCAGAAGUCUACCGACGAAUCACCAUUGAGUCCUUCGAAGAAUCUCUAGGUCUUCUUCUCAAAAUCAGGUGCACCAGAAAGCAAAAUUGUUUUUGGAGAUUGUUUCUAUGGCUGAUGGGAGGGUUCCAUCAAGUGGUGCAAAACCAUGUUUUCCUCCAGAGCGGCCUAUUAGUGAUGGCAAUGUUUCGAAGGAGACUAACCUGAAAGCUAAAUAUUUUAGGGCAAGGGUUAGAGCUAUUUGUGAAUUCCCUCCUUUUUGUGGAAUGAAUGCUAUUUGUCCGACUGAGGAAGAGCGCCUGAGAAUUGUCUUGGGAAACAAGACUUCAGUUGCUCCAGUUGAGGGCGCUGUGCAGGGUACGCUGUCAAGAGAGACAGUGAGGGCUAAAGAGGAAUGUAGUCUAGUGAGAAAGACAGCAAGGACUGGCAUUGAAGAAUUGGACAGGGAUGUUCGAGAUGAAAAUGCCAAAAAGAGGGAUCUGAAGAAGAAAUUGCUUCCUUCUGGAAACGCUUCAUAUGAAAAUAAAGGUGCACAGGUUGUCAAGGAUAAGGGAGAUUUUUCCAUAUGUGAGCAAGAUGAAGAUUCUCCUGCAGGUCAGAGACCACAUGAUUUUCAGGUGAUCCUGCCUCCUUUUGGUCCUGAUAGCUCGAGUCAUGGUAAUGUGCGUAACAAAGUGAGGGAAACACAACGUCUAUUCCAAGCUAUUUGUAGGAAGCUCUUGCAAGGAGAAGAAGCAAAUUUGAAGAAACAAGGAUACUUGAGCAGAAGGCCUGAUCUGAACGCAGCACAGAUUAUCAGAGCUAAAGGAAAAGAAGUUAACACAGGCAAACAGAUAAUAGGAUCAGUGCCGGGAGUCGAUGUAGGUGAUGAGUUUCAAUACAGGGUGGAGCUUGCUCUUGUUGGCAUUCAUCGUCUCUAUCAGGCUGGUAUUGAUUACAUGAAAGAUGGUGGAAUGAUCAUUGCAACAAGCAUUGUUGCCUCAGGUGGUUAUGCAGAUGAUUUGGACAACCCUGAUGUUUUAAUAAACUCUGGUCAUGGAGGAAAUAUAACUGGUCGGGAUAAACAACAACCUGAAGACCAGAAACUUGAAAGAGGAAACUUGGCUCUGAAAAAUAGUAUAUCAGCAAAGAAUCCUGUUCGGGUAAUCCGUGGUUCUAAAGAGACAAAAUUAUCUACCUUGGAUGCAAGAGCCAAGAUUGUUCUGACAUAUACUUAUGAUGGCUUGUAUACAGUGGAGAGAUACAUGCGUGAUGUAGGGCCACAUGGUAAGCUGGUUUUUAAGUUCGAGUUGAAGAGAAUUCCAGGCCAACCAAAGCUUGCUUGGAAAGAAGUGAAGAAAUCAAUAAGAUCUAAAAUUCGGGAGGGUCUUUGUGUUGGUGAUAUAUCAGGAGGGAAGAAAGAGUUAUUUCCCAUUUGUGCUGUUAACACCGUAGACAAUAAGAGACCACCCAAAUUCAAUUAUAUAACUGAGAUGAAAUAUCCUGAUUGGUGCCCUACUGCUCCCAAGGGUUGUGAUUGUAUCAGUGGAUGCUUGGACUCUAAAAAAUGCUCAUGUAUGUUCAAUAAUGGAGGAAAGAUUCCAUACGACUGCAAUGGGUCUAUCGUUGACGCAAAGCCUCUUGUAUAUGAGUGUGGUCCUUCUUGCAAAUGCCCUCCUUCUUGCUACAAUAAAGUCAGUCAGCAUGGCAUGAAAAUACAGCUUGAAAUCUUCAAAACGAAGUCAAGGGGCUGGGGUGUUAGAUCCCUAACUUCUAUUCCUUCAGGAAGUUUUAUAUGCGAGUAUAUUGGGGAGCUUCUUGAAGACAAGGAAGCUGAAAAAAGACAAAAUGAUGAAUACUUGUUUGAUAUUGGACACAAUGUCAGUGAUUGUUCUCUCAUUGGUGGACUUUUGACUCUCAAGCCUGUUGUACAGUUAAGUUCUAGUGAAGUUGUGGAGGAUGAGUGUUUCACAAUCGAUGCAGCGCAGUGUGGGAAUGUGGGGAGGUUCAUCAACCAUAGUUGUUCCCCUAACCUUUAUGCUCAGAAUGUCCUCUAUGAUCACGAGGACAAGAGUAAACCCCACAUAAUGCUCUUUGCUGCAGAAAACAUUCCUCCCUUGAAGGAGCUGACUUACCACUAUAAUUACUUCGUCGAUCAGGUUCGAGAUUUGAAUGGAAAUAUUAAGAUGAAGAGCUGCUAUUGUGGUGCUGCAGAGUGCACUGGCAGGAUGUAUUGAUGCAGGGAACAAAGUUUGGGGUUUUCCAGAAUUAGAAAUUCCGUGUGUCUUAAUGGAUUUGCUUACGGUUCUUGUUUAGAUGGGCAAGCCUUGCUUUUAAUGGAAGCAGACAAAAGGAGAAUUGAAAGAAGGUUAAAAUAGUUUCGUUCGUAUCAUAUUCUGAGGUAGUGGCAGCUCAAACGUUAGUCUGUACAUCAGUUUUUUGAUUGUGGUUUCUCAAGUAGUCAUGUUGUUUUCUGAUAACACAUGCUGAAUUAGUGAUUUUGGGGAAAAAAUUCUGAAGCGCUAAACUGGUAACCUUCUAUAGUUUGGAAUGAUGGCUCUUUUUUCAUGUUUUGCUGAUUUUGCAUGAUUUGGAAUUUGUACAUGUGAAUUUUGUGGAA